UAUACAUUGUAUUUUAUUAGGUAGACUGGAAAGUAAUGUCGUUUGUGCAAUUUUAAAUCCUUGUUUAUCACUCAACACCUCGUUGAUUUUGAUCGGUCAUUGAACAUUUGCACACUAGGUGGCUGUUGAUAACGAGAGCGAUUACAUAAUUGCUUAAAAAUAGAAAUUUAUCAAAAAUUUAUUUGAAUUUAGUGUAAAAGAAACGACAUUACUUUUCAGUCUAUCUACAGAUAGUAACAUAUAGUAUAAUAUAUACUAUUAUAAUAGUAUUACUAUCUCGAGCUCCUCAGACUAGAAUCGUCUCUGUCGAUAACGACAGACAUCUGAUUCCUUCAGGUGUCGUUUGAUUUAUCAAGCAAAACUUCUCGCUCGCUCCCUCGAAUUCAGCAAUUUAUUUAACCAGUUCUCGUUUCGUAGAUCUCUCGCGGCCAAGAUUCUGGGUGGCCUUUUGAAUCGCCUUGAGCUGGCUCCGUUGACCAGGCGUUGUUCACGGAUGAAGAAUUCGAAGAAUUGUCGGACUCUUUGGUUAUCCCGUCGAAGUCUGAAGCAUGACUUCGAGCGACGUGUUUAACAUCCCCGAUAUCUUCCGGACGCGCUUUUGGUCGCCGAUGGAAACUUGUAGCUCGCCUUAGGAUGCCGACCUCUGCUCGAGAUCGCUCUCCCAGGAACCAAUGGCUUGAUAUCUUCCACCUUCAACAACAUACAUAUUAUACACCUUCGAACGGAACUGGUUUCCUCGGAGACGUCCUAUGACUGUGGAACCUCGUUACUUGACUGAUCAGACUCAUGUACGAUGGCUCUUGGAUGUCUUCUGCAAACCGACCCACUUCCGGUCUUACGAAUCGAUCAUUUCUCAUUGUCGUGGAUUCUUCGCGUCUCGCACUUUGUACUUGAGGGCGAUAACGAAGAGUUGGAGUCAUGUUAGAUAUUCUAACAUACGAUGGUCCCGAUUCUGAGGUCGAUGCUGUCUUCUGAGGUUGCUGCUGUCGUGCAACGUGUUGCUGCAAUGGCAGCUUCGGAUUUUCCAUUCACACUCAGCUCACUGUGAUCUUCGUAAGAUCGAGGGUUCGAGCUUAGUGUGGGUACAUCUGUGGAUGAUUCAUCAGGUUCCAAUUUACUCGUCGAGGAUCCCUCGAGAGUUUCUUC